UUGGGAGCUCUCCCAUAUGGUCGACCUGCAGGCGGCCGCGAAUUCACUAGUGAUUAGAGUUUGAUCAUGGCUCAGGACGAACGCUGGCGGCGUGCUUAACACAUGCAAGUCGAACGGAAAGGCCCUGCUUGCAGGGUACUCGAGUGGCGAACGGGUGAGUAACACGUGGGUGAUCUGCCCUGCACUUCGGGAUAAGCUUGGGAAACUGGGUCUAAUACCGGAUAGGAACCAUCUUUAGUGUGGUGGUUGGAAAGUUUUUUCGGUGUAGGAUGAGCUCGCGGCCUAUCAGCUUGUUGGUGGGGUAAUGGCCUACCAAGGCGGCGACGGGUAGCCGGCCUGAGAGGGUGUACGGCCACAUUGGGACUGAGAUACGGCCCAGACUCCUACGGGAGGCAGCAGUGGGGAAUAUUGCACAAUGGGCGCAAGCCUGAUGCACGACGCCGCGUGGGGGAUGAAGGCCUUCGGGUUGUAAACUCCUUUCGCUAGGGACGAAGCUUUUUGGUGACGGUACCUAGAUAAGAAGCACCGGCUAACUACGUGCCAACAGCCGCGGUAAUACGAAUCGAAUUCCCGCGGCCGCCAUGGCGCCCGGGAGCAUGCGACGUC
rnacentral:rRNA from 1 species